rnacentral:rRNA from 1 species
CCUACGGGAGGCAGCAGUGGGGAAUUUUCCGCAAUGGGCGAAAGCCUGACGGAGCAAUACCGCGUGAGGGAGGAAGGCUCUUGGGUUGUAAACCUCUUUUCUCAGGGAAGAUAAUGACGGUACCUGAGGAAUAAGCAUCGGCUAACUCCGUGCCAGCAGCCGCGGUAAUACGGAGGAUGCAAGCGUUAUCCGGAAUGAUUGGGCGUAAAGCGUCCGCAGGUGGUUUUGAAAGUCUGCUGUUAAAGCGUGCGGCUUAACCGCAUAAGGGCAGUGGAAACUAUGAGACUAGAGUGCGUUAGGGGCAGAGGGAAUUCCCAGUGUAGCGGUGAAAUGCGUAGAGAUUGGGAAGAACACCGGUGGCGAAGGCGCUCUGCUAUACCGUAACUGACACUGAGGGACGAAAGCUAGGGGAGCGAAUGGGAUUAGAUACCCCAGUAGUCCUAGCCGUAAACGAUGGAUACUAGGCGUUGUCUGUAUCGACCCGGACAGUGCCGUAGCUAACGCGUUAAGUAUCCCGCCUGGGGAGUACGCNGCGACUGUGAACGUACGAAAGAAGUUAGACGGUCGUGAGACGUUGCCGACGGACGACGACGAGGGGAGGUAGG